rnacentral:rRNA from 1 species
GACGAACGCUGGCGGCGUGCUUAACACAUGCAAGUCGAACGGAAAGGCCCGGCUCUUGUUGGGUGGUCGAGUGGCGAAGGGGUGAGGAACACGAGAGUAACCUGACCUUGACCUUCUGAUAUCGUUAGGAAACUGGGGCGAAUAUCGGAUAGGAGCUCCUUCUGCUUGGUGGUGGGUGGUGAGUGUCGGAGGUUGUGUUUGGACUGGCGGGGUAUCAGCUUGUUGGUGGGGUGGGUGGUUACCAAGGCUUUGCCGGGGAGCCGGCCUGGGCGGGUGGCCGGCCACACUGGGACUGAGACACGGUCCAGACUCCGACGGGAGGCAGCAGCGGGGAAUAUGGAACAGUGGGGGCAAGCGUGAAGCAGCGACGCGGCGGGUGGGAUGGAGGCCGGCGGGUUGUGAACGUCUUUCGGUAGUGAAGCAGGCUUGCCUCGUGUGUGGGUGGGUUGACGGUAGCUGGUAAAGAAGCGCCGGCUAACUACGUG